AGUGAACGCUGGCGGUAGGCCUAACACAUGCAAGUCGAACGGCAGCACAGUAAGAGCUUGCUCUUACGGGUGGCGAGUGGCGGACGGGUGAGGAAUACAUCGGAAUCUACUUUUUCGUGGGGGAUAACGUAGGGAAACUUACGCUAAUACCGCAUACGACCUACGUGUGAAAGCAGGGGAUCUUCUGACCUUGCGCGAUUGAAUGAGCCGAUGUCGGAUUAGCUAGUUGGCGGGGUAAAGGCCCACCAAGGCGACGAUCCGUAGCUGGUCUGAGAGGAAGAUCAGCCACACGGGAACGGAGACACGGUCCAGACGCCUACGGGAGGAAGCAGUGGGGAAUAUUGGACAAUGGGCGCAAGCCUGAUACAGCAAUACCGCGUGGGUGAAGAAGGCCUUCGGGUUGUAAAGCCCUUUUGUUGGGAAAGAAAAGCAGCAGGUUAAUACCCCGCUGUUCUGACGGUACCCAAAGAAUAAGCACCGGCUAACUUCGUG
rnacentral:rRNA from 1 species